UACGAAGGGGGCUAGCGUUGUUCGGAAUUACUGGGCGUAAAGCGCACGUAGGCGGAUUGCUAAGUCAGGGGUGAGAUCCCGGGGCUCAACCUCGGAACUGCCUUUGAUACUGACAGUCUUGAGUCCGGAAGAGGUGAGUGGAAUUCCUAGUGUAGAGGUGAAAUUCGUAGAUAUUAGGAAGAACACCAGUGGCGAAGGCGGCUCACUGGUCCGGUACUGACGCUGAGGUGCGAAAGCUGGGGAGCAAACAGGAUUAG
rnacentral:rRNA from 1 species